CAAGUACUCCCUCCGUUCGGAAAUACUCGUCAUUGAAAUGGAUGUAUCUAGAUGUAUUUUAGUUCUAGAUACAUCCAUUUUGGUGACAAGUAAUUCCGUACGGAGGGAGUAGUUC
rnacentral:pre_miRNA from 1 species